rnacentral:rRNA from 1 species
UACGUAGGGUGCAAGCGUUAUCCGGAAUUAUUGGGCGUAAAGAGCUCGUAGGCGGUUUGUCACGUCUGCUGUGAAAACUGGAGGCUCAACCUCCAGCCUGCAGUGGGUACGGGCAGACUAGAGUGCGGUAGGGGAGAUUGGAAUUCCUGGUGUAGCGGUGGAAUGCGCAGAUAUCAGGAAGAACACCAGCGGCGAAGGCGGCACUCUGGGCUGGAAUUGACGCUGAGGAGCGAAAGUGUGGGUAGCAAACAGG